UGAUGUAAAGGUGAUCUGGCUGUGACAUCUAUCACCCCAUUGAUCAACAGGGUUGAUUUGGUGAUCUGACUGGCUAGGUGGGUGUCCCCUUCCUCCCUCACCACUUCAUGUGCAUCUUGAAGCUGAGCACUGGGUCUAAGAGGACGACCUUCCCAGAAUAGAUGAGGACCGGUCUUCAGUCAAGGGUAAAGGAGUAGCUGCGCUCCCCUGCUAGAACCUCCAAACAAGCUCAAGGAUUAUAGAUUUUAGUAUGAUUAUCCUUUAUUAUAUGGCUAAUAUCCAUGUACAGAGUAUAUACGCUGUGUGUCUU
rnacentral:snRNA from 1 species